UGAGGAAUCUUGCGCAAUGGGGGCAACCCUGACGCAGCAACGCCGCGUGGGUGAAGAAGGCCUUCGGGUCGUAAAGCUCUGUCAAGUGGGAAGAAUAGCCUUAAGGGAAUAUCCUUGGGGUAUGACGGUACCACUGGAGGAAGCACCGGCUAACUCCGUGCCAGCAGCCGCGGUAAUACGGAGGGUGCAAGCGUUAUUCGGAAUUAUUGGGCGUAAAGGGCGUGUAGGCGGCCAGAUAAGUCAGAGGUGAAAGCCCGGGGCUCAACCCCGGAAGUGCCUUUGAAACUGUUUGGCUUGAGUGCGGGAGAGGAAAGCGGAAUUCCCGAGUGUAGAGGUGAAAUUCGUAGAUAUUGGGAGGAACAUCGGUGGCGAAGGCGGCUUUCUGGACCGACGACUGACGCU
rnacentral:rRNA from 1 species